CCCGUGCCCUGCACCCUGCCCGCCACCUGGGAGUCGCCGAUGGAGCCCUUUCAGGACGCCGUGGUGCUCACGCAGGACCAGGGGCACCCAGCGCCCACCGACGGGUGCCCCCAUCCCGCCACGGCUCCGCUCGGCUGCAGCACCGCAGCGCUGGACUCAGGGGCAGCCACAGCGAGCGCAGACAUCCCGGAGGACGUGGCGGACAUCCAGCAUCUCCUGGCAUGGCUCAACGACGAAGUGACAUCCAAGACAGGCAUCCUGGACGACGACGCAGACAUCGAUGACCUGCUCACGUGGAUCAACAACGAAGAGACACCCAGCACCCACAGACUUGACAACGAUGAUGUGGAAAUGGACCGUUUGCUCACCUGGAUUGACGAAGCGGCUCUGGAGAGUGCUCUGGAGGUCCCCCAGCACAAGCAGGACCUGCCCGGUGUCACAAGAGAGGGGACCAAAGCCACUGCAAACAGCUGCCAAACGCAAGAGCUGAUGCAGCGCAUCACUGCCACAGAGCCACUGAG
rnacentral:lncRNA from 1 species